AAAAGUUUUAUUUUUCGCAACGUUCAUUAUUAAGACAUUUUUCCUUUUUGCAGCAUUCGUUGAAGGUUGCAAAAAGUAUCAAAAAAUGAACACAAAUAAAAUUAUAUAUGGACCCAAAAUAAUCCAAACGCUAGACUAAUAACUCACGCCUCUCCCCUCUCCUCCUCUUCUUCACUCCCGACCAAAAGUUUUAAUUCUCCAUAUUUUGCCCAAUUAAUUUGCUCACGUUCAGCCCCAAUAGAAGGUCUUAGUGUUGAUUGAGGGUGCAAAAACGAUGUUCUUUCUCUUCGAGAUCUUUUUUUGGAUAAUAUAAGGUACAUAGAUGAGCAGAACAGCGCUGCGAAUCGGACCUAUAAACUGGGUUUGAACUGAUUCACUGAUCUCAGCAAUGAGGAGUACCGAUCCAUGUAUUUGUGUGCGAAAAUCGGUGAUAGGAAGACGAAGAGUGAUCGGGACGGUAUAAACUGAAAGACGGCAACAACUUGCCAAAUUCCAUUGACUGGAGAGACAAAGGCCCUGUCCCUCCAGUGAAAGAUCAAGGGAGCUGUGGCCAGGACCGAUAUUUAAGGCAUAGCCCAUUUCGAAGAUUGCUGAGAAGAAAAUUAAGGAGGGCGAUAGGGUGGUUUCACUCACUACUUAAUGGUUUUUUUUUGUUUUUUUUUAUUUUUUUAAUAUUUUAUGGGAAAAUGUAUUGGAUUUUUAGGUGUUUUAGAAAUUUGGAUCCGGAUUUUGUAUGAAUAUUGUUACAUUUUAGAGUUUAAUUAAUAAUGAUUAUUGGAGUUAUUUAAUAUAGUUAUUUUCUAUUC